rnacentral:tRNA from 1 species
UUCCAGGGAUGGAAAUCGAACCCACAAUGUUCCGCUUACCGGGCAGAUGCCAUGUCCACUAGGCUACCCUGGA